UACAGAGGUCCCGAGCGUUGUUCGGAUUCAUUGGGCGUAAAGGGUGCGUAGGCGGCUUGGUAGGUCUGGUGUGAAAGCCCCGGGCUCAGCCCGGGAAGGGCACUAGAAACUGCCAAGCUAGAGUGCCGGAGGGGAGAGUGGAAUUCCUGGUGUAGCGGUGAAAUGCGUAGAUAUCAGGAGGAAUACCGGUGGCGAAAGCGACUCUCUGGACGGCAACUGACGCUGAGGCACGAAAGCGUGGGGAGCAAACAGG
rnacentral:rRNA from 1 species